UACGGGGGGGGCAAGCGUUGUUCGGAAUUACUGGGCGUAAAGGGCUCGUAGGCGGCCAACUAAGUCGGAUGUGAAAUCCCCAGGCUUAACCUGGGAACUGCAUCCGAUACUGGAUGGCUUGAAUCCGGGAGAGGGAUGCAGAAUUCCAGGUGUAGCGGUGAAAUGCGUAGAUAUCUGGAGGAAUACCGGUGGCGAAGGCGAGGCGCUGGACCCUUUCUGACGCUGAUGCGCGAAAGCCAGGGGAGCAAACGGG
rnacentral:rRNA from 1 species